UGACUGUGGAGUCUUCAUGUUGAUGGUGAGAUAUUCUGGUUUGAUUUUUUUUUUUUUUUUUUUUGUCGAUAAUGUUUCUUAACUUUUGCUGUUUUCCAGUAUCCUCUACAUCUUGUCAUGGGAGCACCCUUUGAUUUUACAUCUUGCGACUUUCCAAACAUUCAGAGGUGGUAGUUUAAUUCUUCUAGAAAACUUUGGGGGUUUCUCUGAAAGUGCAGAAAUCCCUACAAGACUCGAAAGAAGAGAACAAGCUACGCUUAGCAGCAGUGAAGCAGAGCACCCAAUAAUCUGGCACAUGAAUAAAGCUCUGGAAUGGCUCCAUUCUCCAUUCAUCUAUUCAAGGGUCCAGUGGAGGAGCAUCUUUUCAUUCGAAUGGAUGAAGCUCAGAAGGAGAAAGC